UAAUAUUACAGAGAUAGUAAAUGUACUCAUUCUUUUUAUGCAGCUCAAGUGACAUUGAGGAGAAACCAUGCAAUUAUCCAACUGUACUGACACCAUUAGGGAGCUUGAGCUGGAUCACAGGACUGGUCAAGCCCUUCAGUCCACUUGAAAACACUUUACAAUUUCUGGGAGCUGGACUGGCAAACACACAGAGCUCAUUGCUGAACUACAGGAGUUGGGUAAGUUCUGUUACCUUCAUUGGUCUUGUGUGGCUUUCAAAAUAUGGACUGAGUUGAUGGAGCAAGCAUCUGUGUAGUUGAUGUUACUAGAGGAGUUUGUUUAUUAUACUUUGCACUGAGGUUGUUCCUA
rnacentral:lncRNA from 1 species